UACGUAGGGUCCGAGCGUUGUCCGGAAUUAUUGGGCGUAAAGGGCUCGUAGGCGGCUUGUCGCGUCGAUCGUGAAAACUUGUGGCUCAACUACAAGCUGGCGGUCGAUACGGGCAGGCUAGAGUGUGGUAGGGGAGAUCGGAAUUCCUGGUGUAGCGGUGAAAUGCGCAGAUAUCAGGAGGAACACCGGUGGCGAAGGCGGAUCUCUGGGCCAUUACUGACGCUGAGGAGCGAAAGCGUGGGGAGCGAACAGG
rnacentral:rRNA from 1 species